AAUAAUUGUUGAUGUUAAAAUUUUCUGUUUUUCAUUCUGCUGUGGCGAUGGAUGAAAACUGAUGAUGAAUUUAUUUGUUGGUGUGGCAACAUUUUUAAAUUAAACGCCCCCAAAUAUCCGUUCAAAUCAAGUUUUGUCGUAGUUGCUAGGGGUUUGGCGUGUAUUUUGUAGACAGAAGUACUAUGAGUUUGUAUGAACAUGGCUUUUUUUUUUGCUUUUACCAUGUCAUCUGUUAAAACAACAAAAUUUGUCCAUCACAAAUAUUGUGCUAUCAUAUUCAAACAAACAAAACUAAAUCAACACCCGCUUGACAACUGGUCAUCCCAUACAUCACAGACUACGUUGCAAAAGUGAAGAAAAUUGACCCAAAAUAAAUUUUUGAACUAUCAUAGAUCAUGAAAACAAAUAAAAGAAAUAAAAAAAAAACAAAAUUAAUAGUUUGGAGGACAAUAGGUCAUCAUA